UCUCGAAAGUGCGAGUGACAGCAGCCGUAUCGACUGUGACAUGAUGUUUGAUUAUCUGUCAUAUCACAAGCCCGAUACGACCAUCUGUACUUGUGCUAUUCCCGAA
rnacentral:pre_miRNA from 1 species